UACGAAGGGGGCUAGCGUUGCUCGGAAUCACUGGGCGUAAAGGGUGCGUAGGCGGGUCUUAAGUCAGGGGUGAAAUCCUGGAGCUCAACUCCAGAACUGCCUUCGAUACUGGAGAGCUUGAGUCCGGGAGAGGUGAGUGGAACUGCGAGUGUAGAGGUGAAAUUCGUAGAUAUUCGCAAGAACACCAGUGGCGAAGGCGGCUCACUGGCCCGGUACUGACGCUGAGAUGCGAAAGCGUGGGGGAGCAAACAGG
rnacentral:rRNA from 1 species